rnacentral:rRNA from 1 species
UACGUAGGGUGCAAGCGUUGUCCGGAAUUAUUGGGCGUAAAGAGCUCGUAGGCGGUCUGUCGCGUCGGCUGUGAAAUCCCGAGGCUCAACCUCGGGUCUGCAGUCGAUACGGGCAAACUUGAGUGUUGCAGGGGAGACUGGAAUUCCUGGUGUAGCGGUGAAAUGCGCAGAUAUCAGGAGGAACACCGGUGGCGAAGGCGGGUCUCUGGGCAUCUCCUGACGCUGAGGCGCGAAAGCGUGGGGAGCAAACGGG